UGGGGAAUAUUGGACAAUGGGCGAAAGCCUGAUCCAGCCAUGCCGCGUGUGUGAAGAAGGUCUUCGGAUUGUAAAGCACUUUAAGUUGGGAGGAAGGGCAGUAAAUUAAUACUUUGCUGUUUUGACGUUACCGACAGAAUAAGCACCGGCUAACUCUGUGCCAGCAGCCGCGGUAAUACAGAGGGUGCAAGCGUUAAUCGGAAUUACUGGGCGUAAAGCGCGCGUAGGUGGUUCGUUAAGUUGGAUGUGAAAUCCCCGGGCUCAACCUGGGAACUGCAUUCAAAACUGACGAGCUAGAGUAUGGUAGAGGGUGGUGGAAUUUCCUGUGUAGCGGUGAAAUGCGUAGAUAUAGGAAGGAACACCAGUGGCGAAGGCGACCACCUGGACUGAUACUGACACUGAGGUGCGAAAGCGUGGGGAGCAAACAGGAUUAGAUACCCCCGUAGUCCCUGAGCGGGCUGGCAAGGCGCAU
rnacentral:rRNA from 1 species